rnacentral:rRNA from 1 species
AGUGAACGCUGGCGGUAGGCCUAACACAUGCAAGUCGAACGGCAGCACAGUAAGAGCUUGCUCUUACGGGUGGCGAGUGGCGGACGGGUGAGUAAUACAUCGGAAUCUACUUUUUCGUGGGGGAUAACGUAGGGAAACUUACGCUAAUACCGCAUACGACCUACGGUUGAAAGCAGGGGAUCUUCGGACCUUGCGCGAUUGAAUGAGCCGAUGUCGGAUUAGCUAGUUGGCGGGGUAAAGGCCCACCAAGGCGACGAUCCGUAGCUGGUCUGAGAGGAUGAUCAGCCACACUGGAACUGAGACACGGUCCAGACUCCUACGGGAGGCAGCAGUGGGGAAUAUUGGACAAUGGGCGCAAGCCUGAUCCAGCCAUACCGCGUGGGUGAAGAAGGCCGUCGGGUUGUAAAGCCCUUUUGUUGGGAAAGAAAAGCAGCAGGUUAAUACCACGCUGUUAUGACGGUACCCAAAGAAUAAGCACCGGCUAACCUCGU